rnacentral:rRNA from 1 species
AACGAACGCUGGCGGCAGGCUUAACACAUGCAAGUCGAGCGCCUCGCCAGAGGAGCGGCCGCCGGGUGAGUAACGCGUGGGAACGUACCCUUAUCUUCGGAAUAGCUCUGGGAAACUGGAAGUAAUACCGAAUGUGCCCUUAGGGGGAAAGAUUUAUCGGAUAAGGAUCGGCCCGCGUUGGAUUAGCUAGUUGGUGGGGUAAAGGCCUACCAAGGCGACGAUCCAUAGCUGGUCUGAGAGGAUGAUCAGCCACAUUGGGACUGAGACACGGCCCAAACUCCUACGGGAGGCAGCAGUGGGGAAUAUUGGACAAUGGGCGCAAGCCUGAUCCAGCCAUGCCGCGUGAGUGAUGAAGGCCUUAGGGUUGUAAAGCUCUUUCACCGGAGAAGAUAAUGACGGUAUCCGGAGAAGAAGCCCCGGCUAACUUCGUG